rnacentral:rRNA from 1 species
UCGGAAUCGCUAGUAAUCGCGCAUCAGCUACGGCGCGGUGAAUAAGUUCCUGAGCCUUGUACACACCGCCCGUCACGUCAUGGGAGCCGGGAGUGCCCGAAGUCGCCGCAUCUCAGCGGUGCCUACGGCAAGACUGGUGACUGGGACUAAGUCGUAACAAGGUAGCCGUAGGGGAACCUGCGGCUGGAUCACCUCCUUU